rnacentral:rRNA from 1 species
UACGGAGGGGGCUAGCGUUGGUCGGAAUUACUGGGCGUAAAGCGCACGUAGGCGGCUUUGUAAGUUAGAGGUGAAAGCCCGGGGCUCAACUCCGGAAUUGCCUUUAAGACUGCAUCGCUAGAAUUGUGGAGAGGUAAGUGGAAUUCCGAGUGUAGAGGUGAAAUUCGUAGAUAUUCGGAAGAACACCAGUGGCGAAGGCGACUUACUGGACACAUAUUGACGCUGAGGUGCGAAAGCGUGGGGAGCAAACAGG